rnacentral:rRNA from 1 species
UCGGCCUGCGCGGAAGAUGUAACGGGGCUAAACCAUGCACCGAAGCUGCGGCAGCGACACUAUGUGUUGUUGGGUAGGGGAGCGUUCUGUAAGCCUGUGAAGGUGGCCUGUGAGGGUUGCUGGAGGUAUCAGAAGUGCGAAUGCUGACAUAAGUAACGAUAAAGCGGGUGAAAAGCCCGCUCGCCGGAAGACCAAGGGUUCCUGUCCAACGUUAAUCGGGGCAGGGUGAGUCGACCCCUAAGGCGAGGCCGAAAGGCGUAGUCGAUGGGAAACAGGUUAAUAUUCCUGUACUUGGUGUUACUGCGAAGGGGGGACGGAGAAGGCUAUGUUGGCCGGGCGACGGUUGUCCCGGUUUAAGCGUGUAGGCUGGUUUUCCAGGCAAAUCCGGAAAACCAAGGCUGAGGCGUGAUGACGAGGCACUACGGUGCUGAAGUGACAAAUGCCCUGCUUCCAGGAAAAGCCUCUAAGCAUCAGGUAACAUCAAAUCGUACCCCAAACCGACACAGGUGGUCAGGUAGAGAAUACCAAGGCGCUUGAGAGAACUCGGGUGAAGGAACUAGGCAAAAUGGUGCCGUAACUUCGGGAGAAGGCACGCUGAUAUGUAGGUGAAGCGACUUGCUCGUGGAGCUGAAAUCAGUCGAAGAUACCAGCUGGCUGCAACUGUUUAUUAAAAACACAGCACUGUGCAAACACGAAAGUGGACGUAUACGGUGUGACGCCUGCCCGGUGCCGGAAGGUUAAUUGAUGGGGUUAGCGGUAACGCGAAGCUCUUGAUCGAAGCCCCGGUAAACGGCGGCCGUAACUAUAACGGUCCUAAGGUAGCGAAAUUCCUUGUCGGGUAAGUUCCGACCUGCACGAAUGGCGUAAUGAUGGCCAGGCUGUCUCCACCCGAGACUCAGUGAAAUUGAACUCGCUGUGAAGAUGCAGUGUACCCGCGGCAAGACGGAAAGACCCCGUGAACCUUUACUAUAGCUUGACACUGAACAUUGAGCCUUGAUGUGUAGGAUAGGUGGGAGGCUUUGAAGUGUGGACGCCAGUCUGCAUGGAGCCGACCUUGAAAUACCACCCUUUAAUGUUUGAUGUUCUAACGUUGGCCCCUAAUCGGGGUUGCGGACAGUGUCUGGUGGGUAGUUUGACUGGGGCGGUCUCCUCCUAAAGAGUAACGGAGGAGCACGAAGGUUGGCUAAUCCUGGUCGGACAUCAGGAGGUUAGUGCAAUGGCAUAAGCCAGCUUGACUGCGAGCGUGACGGCGCGAGCAGGUGCGAAAGCAGGUCAUAGUGAUCCGGUGGUUCUGAAUGGAAGGGCCAUCGCUCAACGGAUAAAAGGUACUCCGGGGAUAACAGGCUGAUACCGCCCAAGAGUUCAUAUCGACGGCGGUGUUUGGCACCUCGAUGUCGGCUCAUCACAUCCUGGGGCUGAAGUAGGUCCCAAGGGUAUGGCUGUUCGCCAUUUAAAGUGGUACGCGAGCUGGGUUUAGAACGUCGUGAGACAGUUCGGUCCCUAUCUGCCGUGGGCGCUGGAGAACUGAGGGGGGCUGCUCCUAGU